GAGGAAGGUGGGGAUGACGUCAAGUCAUCAUGGCCCUUACGAGUAGGGCUACACACGUGCUACAAUGGCGCAUACAAAGAGAAGCGACCUCGCGAGAGCAAGCGGACCUCAUAAAGUGCGUCGUAGUCCGGAUUGGAGUCUGCAACUCGACUCCAUGAAGUCGGAAUCGCUAGUAAUCGUGGAUCAGAAUGCCACGGUGAAUACGUUCCCGGGCCUUGUACACACCGCCCGUCACACCAUGGGAGUGGGUUGCAAAAGAAGUAGGUAGCUUAACUUCGGGAGGGCGCUUACCACUUUGUGAUUCAUGAC
rnacentral:rRNA from 2 species